AUGAAGUCUACUUCCCAUCAGGUGGAAAGACAUUUAGCAGUCACCAUCUCUAAGAACGGUCACCACCCUCAUGGCAAGGAUUUUGUACUCAAUAGUUCAGAGCCCCCCAGGCACACUAUCAAUGGUGACAAAAGGUGUGGAGCCUCUUUUUGUACAGACUGGAUUUGUCACAGAUUUACGAAGUCAAGAAUUCCAGAUGAAGUUUUUCAGCCUUCACCUGAAGGUCAUGAAAAAUAUGGUGGGGAUCCACAGCAACCUUAUAAACUGGAUAUUGUUACCAGAAUAAAAAGUACAAAAAGACGUCCAUAUUGGGAGAAAGAUUUAAUAAGGAUGCUUGGGUUACAAAAAGCACAUACUCCUCAAGUUCACAAGAAUAUCCCUUUGGUGAAGGCAAAACUGAAAGCGGUUAAACGUUUGAUAAGAAUCAAGCCCCUGAAACUGCCACGAGUUCUCCCAACGGAGGAGGACAUGUCCAACGCGUGCCUCAAGAGCACUGGGGAACUGAUGGGGGCGUGGCUUCAGAACCCUGAGCACCAGGAAGAAAAGAAGUCCUGAUGGCCUCGCAGCUUCAGAGUAAAAAGUGCAAGUCAUGUCUAUGUAAAGAUGGUGAGAAAGUGUUCUCAUUAAAAUAUGUUUUAAAUUCUA